CGGCCGCCCGCGGAGUCCGAGCCCACGUGCAGCGGCUGCUCCUUCAUUGAUCGUCCUCGUGGUGCAGGUGGCGGCGGGCGGGGCGGGGCCGGGGCGGGCGGGGGCGGGGCCUGGGCGGGCCUGGGCGGGGCCGGGGCGGGGCGGGCCGGGUCAAAGGGCCCCGGGAGGAGGGGAGACGCGGAGGGGCGUUCUCUCCGGGCCUGAACUUGGUUGACCCCCCGCAGUUUCGUCCCGGGGUACUGGGCCUCUAUCCUGGCGGGGGGGGGGGGAGUAGGCGGGCGGGCCUCCGGGAGGACCUCCGCGCCCUCGGGCCCGGGGAGGAGGCCCGGACGCCGCUGAGGGCCAGAAGCCAAGCAAAGAAGGGGCUUAGGGCCGGAGGAGUGCCUGGGGUGGAGAGAGGUCUCUUUCCUCCUGUCUGAGAAAUCCCUCCUAGUUCACCUGGCCGACUCUUACUCAUCCCUCAAAACCCUUUCCCAAUGAUGUUUACCCAGGCUCUGGGAAGUUGUCUCAACACUGAGGCUGAGUUUUAGCGUCCUUCCCCGGGGUCCCCAGCGGUGACAGCUCCUGGCAGGGAGUGUAAGUGUUUGGCACCGUCAACGUCCACCUCCUGGAAUGACGCUCCUAUGAGUUGGGGCUGGUGGAGGCAGCAGAGUUUGACAAAUGAACAAAGGGUAUAGGGCAUGCAGUGGGGGGCCGGAAAUCAGGGAGGGGGCUUGGGAUCCAGGCCUGGGGCCUGCAGGGGAGGCCAAGGGUGGGGUGGGGUCGGUUCUGCCCCUGGCUGCCCGGCCUUCUGCCCUCAGGGACCUGCCAUCUCCCCUUGGGAGUUCCAGGCUAAAGUCCUUUGGCUACUGCCCGAAGAUGACGUCUUGGGACCGUCUCAGCCGCCAGCAGCACCCUCCAAGGAUGAGGAGGCCCCCAGGAACUUUGCUCCAGAAGGUACGGCAGGAUCUCCAGGAACAUCACCGGCAGGUGAGUAACCAGGAGCUGGAGGUAUGGCUGGUCCUCCCUGAAAGGUGGGGGGGAGGGGGGGCGAGGAGCGCGGUGACAGUUGUCAGGACUGCAGGGAAUGUCUGGGGUUUUCCACAAAAGAGGUGGGAGCCCUGGCGGGCUGUGGGCAGAGAGGGCGCGGGGAUCGGUGGAUGGAUCUCUCCCUGCCAUGCGCACGUGCACAUGCACGCGCACACACCCCUUCCCCUUCCCCUUCCCCUUCCCCUUCCCCUUCCCCUUCCCCUUCCCCUUCCCCUUCCCCUUCCCCUUCCCCGUGCAUUUCUGUCCAUCCGUCCAUCCUCAUCCUCGAGGCUCUUCCCUCCUGGCCUGCUUCCCCGGUCCCUGCGUGGCUCCCAUGAGGCCAGGGGCCUUCCCAGCACGUUGCAGGUCAGCUGCUUCCGCUCUGAAGGGCCUGUUCCGUGCCAGGCACACCCGGAUUACGGUCUUCCGUGUGUCUGCGAGUUCUCGAGGGCCUGGAUCACACGUGAGCGGGGGCGGGGGUGGGCCCAGCUCCCCGCACAGGGCGCCGGCCCAAGCUGA
rnacentral:lncRNA from 1 species